UACGGAGGGUGCGAGCGUUGUUCGGAAUCACUGGGCGUAAAGCGCGUGUAGGCGGCUUCCUAAGUCUGAUGUGAAAGCCCGGGGCUUACCCCCGGAAGUGCAUUGGAAACUGAGAGGCUUGAGUACCGGAGAGGAAGGUGGAAUUCCUGGUGUAGCGGUGAAAUGCGUAGAUAUCAGGAAGAACACCGGUGGCGAAGGCGGCCUUCUGGACGGAUACUGACGCUGAGACGCGAAAGCGUGGGGAGCAAACAGG
rnacentral:rRNA from 1 species